UCCCGUUUGGCCCCCUUAAAUUAUAAUUCAUUUUUAGCCACACAUUAUUCAAAAAAAUACUAUUCCAAAAAUUAUAAUCACAAAUAAUGGGGCCAAAUAGGGCUUUAAUCUCAUACGUACCUGAUGUUGAAUUUGAACGAAACAUAUGAGGUUCCAUUGUUAUUGGUGUGAUAUAAGUUGGAUAUGGAUAUUGCAUUUGAGGGAGAAAUUCCGAUAUGGUAUCGAAAGAGUAAAAAGUGGAUUCUUGGCUUGGGAAGAGCUCAUGGCUCAAUGAAAAUAAUCGUUCGUCACUUUGCAAAAGCUUUUGGUAGUGUUUAUCGAGGGUUUUGGGAGCGAAUUGAACAUAGUGUCUCCUGAUCAAAAAGUCACAAAUAUCGUUAAGUAUUCGAGUGAAGUGAAUUAGUACAAUGAAUAAGAAUUUAAAUUAUCUAUAUUUUCAAUUAGUACAAUUGAACUUAUUAUGAAGAAUACCUCCAGAAGGAAGCUUGACCUCCUGUAAAAUCAAACCAAGGUUUCCAAGCAGAAUGUUUUCGCGGUUGUGGAUCGGUUUCGCAAUAGAACAAAGGAGGCUGAUUCAACUGCAAAAAUUUCUCAUUUUAAGCUAAUAUCGACCUAACGAUCGAUGGACGAUAAUUGAACAUUUCAUUCAUUAUAUUAAUGACAGGUCAAAAUAAAGGCAAAAUGAUUUAACCUCAAUUUCCAAAGUUGCUACUUCAUUAUCAGGCAUACUGGCUCGAAUUGCACUAAUAUCAGACCAUUGAAUUUCGAUCUUUUUCUUCAAUGGUCUUUGUAGAAUCUCCCAAACAAUUUUUUUCUUCGCGUAGUAUAUCUUCACAAUCACGUCUCCUUCAUACAUUGCUCUCCACUGUCACAUUACAAUAAUUCUAAAUACUUUUUCUAAGAAAAAUUUUGAUUCUUAGAGCAUCAUUUAAGUAUUUCAUUUCAAGAAAAUCCAAAAAGAAAUAAUUAUAAAAAAUUGAAAUACCUCCCACGUUCCUAUUCGAAGCAAAUUUGCAGGGAAAUUGGUAGCCUUCAAAUGCUCAUUAACAAAUCUAUCUAUAAAAUAUUUGACAAACUCGACAAGUGACGACCCCCUAUUGGAAUAUUUUAUACAAUAUUUUAUACAGAUAUCUUUAUCCUAAAUUUUAUUGUUUGAUUGUGCCCAUAUAAGCCACUGAAUCUUUCAAAUUUCAAUUCUAACAAUCAAAUUAUGUAAAAAAAUAAAAAUCAAUAUAAUGGUAACUUUUUCAAAUAAGGACAAUAACUUCCAGAAAUUUACAAAAACGAACAUCAGAAGAAAGAGAAAUUCUUUCCCAUUUGAGGAUUUUCCGCAAAGGGAAGAAGAACAAGUCUAUUUACGAAAGGAAAAGCCCGAAAAUAUUCGGAUUAGAAUUCCAAGUAGAAUAAUCUCCAUUUAUCAAUCCUUCAAAUUCAAAUGGAUCAAUCGAGUUGUUUACUUCUGGUUGCAACACAAGGUUUUCUAUAGAUUCUUGAGCUAUCCAAUUUAUAGAUUGUGGACGGAAACCAUCUGAUAUGGAAUUUUCAAUGCCAUUCUGAAUCACUUGAUCAUUAGGAUUUACAUCUAACGGAUUAGAUAUAUUUGCAUCUCCCACAUAAUCCGAGUAAGGAUAGUCGAAAACUAGAUUGGAAGAUUGUGUUACCAAAUUAAUAGAUGAUGCAUCUUGAAUAUUUUCUGCUUGUCCCCAAACAGUCUGGUUUUGAGUCACAAUCCCUACAGAAAUCCAUAACUGUUACAAAAUAGUAGAGAUUUUAAAAGUUGCAAUUGAGACUUUCAACAUUUUUUUCUGCAUAAUUAGCUCCCGUUUGGCCCCCUUAAAUUAUAAUUCAUUUUUAGCCACACAUUAUUCAAAAAAAUACUAUUCCAAAAAUUAUAAUCACAAAUAAUGGGGCCAAAUAGGGCUUUAAUCUCAUACGUACCUGAUGUUGAAUUUGAACGAAACAUAUGAGGUUCCAUUGUUAUUGGUGUGAUAUAAGUUGGAUAUGGAUAUUGCAUUUGAGGGAGAAAUUCCGAUAUGGUAUCGAAAGAGUAAAAAGUGGAUUCUUGGC
rnacentral:lncRNA from 1 species